GACAUAGGUGGCGAACGUUAUCCGGAAUUAUUGGGCGUAAAGGAUGCGUAGAUGGUAGAGUAAGUUACUGGUUGAUGCCAAACUCAAUUUGACGGAAGCUGGUAAUACUGUUCUGCUAGAGGACAGGAGAGGUUGAUGGAAUUCUGUGUGGAGCGGUGAAAUGCGUUGAUCUACAGAGGAACACCAAAAAAGGCGAAGGCAGUCAACUAUUCUGUUCCUGACGCUGAGGCGCGAAAGCUAGGGGAGCAAACGGG
rnacentral:rRNA from 1 species